UAGGUGAACUUGCGGAGGGAUCAUUAUCGAGUUACCGCUCCUUAUAACCCUUUGUGAACAUACCCCAAACGUUGCCUCGGCGGGCAGCCGGAGCCCCGCUCCGGCGCGCCCCACCCGCCGGCGGACCACUAAACUCUAUUCCAACGACGUCUCUUCUGAGUGGCACAAGCAAAUAAUCAAAACUUUUAACAACGGAUCUCUUGGUUCUGGCAUCGAUGAAGAACGCAGCGAAAUGCGAUAAGUAAUGUGAAUUGCAGAAUUCAGUGAAUCAUCGAAUCUUUGAACGCACAUUGCGCCCGCCAGCAUUCUGGCGGGCAUGCCUGUUCGAGCGUCAUUUCAACCCUCAAGCACCGCUUGGCGUUGGGGCCCUACGGCUUCCGUAGGCCCCGAAAUACAGUGGCGGACCCUCCCGGAGCCUCCUUUGCGUAGUAACAUACCACCUCGCACUGGGAUCCGGAGGGACUCCUGCCGUAAACCCCCCACUUUCCAAAG
rnacentral:rRNA from 1 species